AGAGUUUGAUCAUGGCUCAGGAUGAACGCUAGCGGGAGGCCUAACACAUGCAAGCCGAGCGGUAUGGAUAGCUUGCUAUCCAGAGAGCGGCGUACGGGUGCGUAACACGUGUGCAACCUACCUUUAUCUGGGGGAUAGCCUUUCGAAAGGAAGAUUAAUACCCCAUAAUAUAAUGAUUGGCAUCAAUUAUUAUUGAAAACUCCGGUGGAUAGAGAUGGGCACGCGCAAGAUUAGAUAGUUGGUGAGGUAACGGCUCACCAAGUCUGCGAUCUUUAGGGGUCCUGAGAGGGAGAUCCCCCACACUGGUACUGAGACACGGACCAGACUCCUACGGGAGGCAGCAGUGAGGAAUAUUGGACAAUGGGUGAAAGCCUGAUCCAGCCAUCCCGCGUGAAGGAUGACGGUCCUAUGGAUUGUAAACUUCUUUUGUACAGGGAUAAACCUACUCUCGUGAGGGUAGCUGAAGGUACUGUACGAAUAAGCACCGGCUAACUCCGUGCCAGCAGCCGCGGUAAUACGGAGGGUGCAAGCGUUAUCCGGAUUUAUUGGGUUUAAAGGGUCCGUAGGCGGACCUGUAAGUCAGUGGUGAAAUCUCAUAGCUUAACUAUGAAACUGCCAUUGAUACUGCAGGUCUUGAGUAAAUUUGAAGUGGCUGGAAUAAGUAGUGUAGCGGUGAAAUGCAUAGAUAUUACUUAGAACACCAAUUGCGAAGGCAGGUCACUAAGAUUUAACUGACGCUGAUGGACGAAAGCGUGGGUAGCGAACAGGAUUAGAUACCCUGGUAGUCCACGCCGUAAACGAUGCUAACUCGUUUUUGGAUUUUCGGAUUCAGAGACCAAGCGAAAGUGAUAAGUUAGCCACCUGGGGAGUACGUUCGCAAGAAUGAAACUCAAAUGAAUUGACGG
rnacentral:rRNA from 1 species